GCAUUAAUGGGGUAGUGGUAACCUGGGUCGUUGCCACCUGAUGGGCAUAACAGUCGAUCGACCCGCCGGGGGUUCGAUUCCCUCUUAAUGCA